rnacentral:tRNA from 1 species
CAGGGAGACAACAAAAUGUUUAAUAUUAUUAUUUUGUCACCUUAGGUCGAUCGGUAUCUCACGUUUUUAAUUUAUUAAGAAUUUCAUUUCCUAAGUUUUUCUAGGUCACACCCAUUAUUUUUCCUGGGCCAUUAGCUCAGGUGGUUAGAGCGCACCCCUGAUAAGGGUGAGGUCCCUGGUUCAAGUCCAGGAUGGCCCAUAUCUCUAUGUUGGGGGUAUAGCUCAGUUGGUAGAGCGCCUGCUUUGCAAGCAGGAUGUCAGCGGUUCGAGUCCGCUUACCUCCACUGAUUACCACCUCUUCCAUAACCGAUAGAAAGGAAAUGUUUUGAGUUGUGAUCAAAUUCUGAAAGAAUCUAGCUUCCUAAUGAAAUCAUUAAGAUGCUGGACUCAUUGAAUUAAUUUCAUUGUUUUCAGAGAACCUUGACAACUGCAUAGAUUAUUUUAAAGACAAUAAGCAUCUUUAAUGAUGCAGAUUUAUUAUUUGUGCGAAUGCAUUAAUAACAAUUCUAUUGAGCUGAUGCUUCAAUUUUGAAGUUAUU